rnacentral:rRNA from 1 species
UACAGAGGGUGCAAGCGUUAAUCGGAAUUACUGGGCGUAAAGCGUGCGUAGACAGUUACAUAAGUCGGGUGUGAAAGCCCCGGGCUCAACCUGGGAAUUGCAUUCGAGACUGCGUAGCUAGGGUGCGGAAGAGGGAAGCGGAAUUUCCGGUGUAGCGGUGAAAUGCGUAGAUAUCGGAAGGAACACCAGUGGCGAAAGCGGCUUCCUGGUCCAGCACCGACGUUCAGGCACGAAAGCGUGGGGAGCAAACAGG